GUGAACGCUGGCGGUAGGCCUAACACCUGCAAGUCGCACGGCAGCACAGUAAGAGCUUGCUCUUACGGGUGGCGAGUGGCGGACGGGUGAGGAAUACAUCGGAAUCUACUUUUUCGUGGGGGAUAACGUAGGGAAACUUACGCUAAUACCGCAUACGACCUACGGGUGAAAGCAGGGGAUCUUCGGACCUUGCGCGAUUGAAUGAGCCGAUGUCGGAUUAGCUAGUUGGCGGGGUAAAGGCCCACCAAGGCGACGAUCCGUAGCUGGUCUGAGAGGAUGAUCAGCCACACUGGAACUGAGACACGGUCCAGACUCCUACGGGAGGCAGCAGUGGGGAAUAUUGGACAAUGGGCGCAAGCCUGAUCCAGCCAUACCGCGUGGGUGAAGAAGGCCUUCGGGUUGUAAAGCCCUUUUGUUGGGAAAGAAAAGCAGCAGGUUAAUACCCCGCUGUUCUGACGGUACCCAAAGAAUAAGCACCGGCUAACUUCGUG
rnacentral:rRNA from 1 species